AUAACACCCCCUCCAGCUGCCAUUGUGUGGCUGCGGUGUUGGGGCUCGUCGCGAUGCGGCGGCCCUUAAAGACAGUGGCGGUUCCGACGUGGGCUCUACGCGUAGUACCUUGCUUCUCGCACAGGGGGCGGCAAAA
rnacentral:misc_RNA from 1 species